AUUAAAGUGUUGAGCAAGAGAGUAGCCAACGUUUCGGUUUCAGAAAGAAAAUCAUUGCUGUGAGAUUUUUACCGGGCGUUGAGUGAAGGUAGCUUGUGAGCUGCUUAUCUUCAAUUGAAGAUGAGUCGGUAUUAUCAGACCGUUAUUAUGAUAUUAAGUGGGGCUUUUCAGCCCAAUUUAGGUGGUACCGCGAACACUUCGUCCUAAUU
rnacentral:ncRNA from 1 species